ensembl:lncRNA
GAAUGAUGUGUACAAUAUAAUCAUAUUUAUUGUAGGAUCGUAUUGAAAACAGAGAGGACCACACAUGUUGCUAUGCAUUUAUCUGUCUAUAUCCUCCUCUGCUUCAACUAGACUCACAGGGCAACAGCUCUCCUUUUUAGAGAAACACAAAUCUAUCAUCAUCAUCUAUCUCUAACACCAGUAGUGUUCACAGGUUUCAGAUUACACCACACACAGUUAAAUAUAUGCCACUGGCUGGGUCCCUGAAAUGCUUAAAUAUCCACACAGUGAAAUGUAUGCCACUGGCUGGGUCCCUGAAAUGCUUAAAUAUCCACACAGUGAAAUGUAUGCCACUGGCUGGGUCCCUGAAAUGCUUAAAUAUCCACACAGUUAAAUGUAUGCCACUGGCUGGGUCCCUGAAAUGCUUAAAUAUCCACACAGUGAAAUGUAUGCCACUGGCUGGGUCCCUGAAAUGCUUAAAUAUCCACACAGUGAAAUGUAUGCCACUGGCUGGGUCCCUGAAUUGCUUAAAUAUCCAUUGUAAGGACAAUACACAUGCAGACUAACUUAUCCUAUCACACAUUCUGUGACACGGUGUAACAUAUCAACAUGUUUGUUUGUUGUUCUUUACUAUAUACUGAACAAAAAUAUAAAUGCGGCGGCAGGUAGCCUAGGGGCGGCAGGUAGCCUAGGGGCGGCAGGUAGCCUAGGGGCGGCAGGUAGCCUAGGGGCGGCAGGUAGCCUAGGGGAGGCAGGUAGCCUAGGGGCGGCAGGUAGCCUAGGGGCGGCAGGUAGCCUAGGGGCGGCAGGUAGCCUAGGGGCGGCAGGUAGCCAAGGGGCGGCAGGUAGCCUAGGGGUUAGAGCGCUUGGCCAGUAACCAAAAUUUGUCAUUUGAGCAUUUCUCCUUUGCCAAGAUAAUCCACCCAACUGACAGGUGUGGCAUAUCAAGAAGCUGAUUAAACAGCAUGAUCAUUACCCAGGUGCACCUUGUGCUAGGGACAAUAAAAGGCCACUCUAAAAUGUGCAGUUUUGUCACACAACACAAUGCCACAGAUGUCUUAAGUUGAGGAAGAGUGCAAUUCAAAUCAAAAUUUUAUUUAUCUGGCAACAGCUCUGGUGGACAAUCCUGCGGUCAGCAUGCCAAGCAUUUCACUACACCCGCAACAACAUCUGCUAACCACGUGUAUGUAACCAAUAAUGUUAAUUUCUCUACCAUAAGCAACCUCUUAAGUCAUUUUAAAGAAUUCGGCACUAUGUCCAACCGGCCUCACAACUGCAGACCAUGUGUAUGGCGUCGUAUGGUCUGGCAUAAGCUACAGACAAUGAACACCAAAUGCAUUUUAUCAACGGCAAUUUGAAUGCACAAAAAUACAGUGACGAGAUCCUGAGGGCCAUUGUAGGGUAAUACACAUUCAAAUGUAUAUAUAUCAAUACCAUUAAUAUUAUGUAGCGAUAUAAAUACAGUACCUGUCAAAAGUUUGGGCACACCACCUCAUUCAAGGGUUUUUAUUUAUUUAGACUAUUUUCUGCAUUGUAGAAUAAUAGUGAAGACAUCAUCAAAACUAUGAAAUAGCUCAUAUGGAAUCAUGUUGUAACCAAAAAAACCUGUUAAACAAAUCCAAAUAUUUUUUUGAAUUUAGAUUCUUCAAAGUAGCCACCCUUUGCCUUGAUGACAGCUUUGCACACUCUUGGCAUUCUCUCAACCAGCUUCACCUGGAUUGCUUUUCCAACAGUAUAACGACACAAGGCGAGACGCAGAUGCAGACACGAGAGGCAGAUGGUUUGAGCUCUGAUAUUUAUUAUAGUUCAAGGGGUAGGCAAAAGGCAGGUUGGGGACAGGCAAGCGGUAAUAUCCAGGUCAGAGUCCAAAACAGUACAUGGCAGCAGGCAGGCUCAAGGUCAGGGGCAGGCAGAAUGGUCAAAAGGCAGGUCGGGGACAGGCAAGCGUCAGGACAGGCAAGGGUCAGAACCAGGAGGAUGAGAAAAACAGAGUCUGGGAAGAACAGGAGCUGAGAGAAAAACGCUGGUUGACUUGACAAUCAAGACGAACUGGCACAGACAGAUAGAAAACACAGGUAUAAAUACACAGGGGAUCAUGGGGAAGAUGUGUGACACCUGGAGGGGGGUGGAGACAAGCACAAGGACUGGUGAAACAGAUCAGGGUGGGUCAGUACCCCCCCUCUAGGGGCGCCACCUAUUAUCCUGCCUGGGCGCAUGCCUGGUUGACCGGGGUGUCGGCGGUGGAAGUCGGCAAUGAGGGCUGGGUCCAGGAUGUCUCUAGUGGAGACCCAGCACCUCUCCUCCGGGCCGUAACCCUCUCAGACAUCUAGGUACUGGAAACCCCAGCCCCGUGGUCGAACACUCAGGAGGCAUAUCACCGUGUAUGCCGGAUGGCCAUCGAUGACACGGGGGGUGGGGUGGACCUGGAAACAGAAGAGAAAGGGCUCUCCGUCUUGCUUAAAUGGCCCUUGCACAUGCUGGAGGUGUGUUGGGUCAUUGUCCUGUUGAAAAACCAAUUAUAGCCCCACUAAGCCCAAACCAGAUGGGAUUGCGUAUUGCUGCAGAAUGCUGUGGUAGCCAUGAUGGUUAAGUAUGUCUUGAAUUCUAAAUAUAUCACUGACAGUGUCACCAACAAAGCAGCUGCACACCAUCACACCUCCUCCUCCAUGCUUCACUGUGGGAACCACACAUGCGGAGAUCAUCCGUUCACCUACUCUGCGUCUCACAAAGACACGGCGGAUGGAACCAAAAAAUCUCUAUUUGGACUCAUCAGAACAAUGGACAGAUUUCCACCGAUUGAAUAUCCAUUGCUCAUGUUUCUUGGCCCAAGACAGUCUCUUCUUAUUAUUGGUGUCCUUUAAUAGUGGUUUCUUUGCAGCGAUUCGACCAUGAAGGCAUGAUUCAUGCAGUCUUCUCCGAACAGUUGAUGUUGAGAUGUGGUUAAGUGUGCUGGAAUUCAAGGCACACAACCAGCAUGGCUACCACAGCAUUCUACAGCGAUACGCCAUUCCAUCUGGUUAGUGGGACUAUAAUUUGUUUUUACAACAUGACAGGCUGUGUAAGAAGGAGAGUGACCUGGCCUCCACAAUCACCAGAACUCAACCCAAUUGAGAUGGUUUGGGAUGAGUUAGACUACUGAGUGAAGGAAAUGCAGCCAACAAGUGCUCGGCAUAUGUGGGAACUCCUUCAAGACUGUUGGAAAACCAUUACAGGUGAAGCUGGUUGGAGAGAAUGCCAAGAGUGUGCAAAGCUGUCAUCAAUGCAAAGGGUGGCUACUUUGAGGAAUCUAAAUUAUAAAAAAUAUUUGGAUUUGUUUAACACUUUUUUGGGGUGAUGAUUCCAUAUGUGUUAUUUCAUAGUUUUGAUGAUGUCUUCACUAUUAUUCUACAAUGUAGAAAAUAGUAAAAAAUAAAUAAAAACCCUUGAAUGAGGUGGUGUGUCCAAAAUUUUGACUGGUACUGUAUUUAUGUGUGUAUUUAUAUCACUACAUAAUAUUAUGGUAUGGAUAUAUAUAUACAUUUGUAUAUGUAUUACUACAUAAUAUUACGGUAUGUCUACAUAUAUAUAUGACCUGGCCUCAGUUGAAGUUGGAAGUUUACAUACACUUAGGUUGGAGUCAUUAAAACUAGUUUUUCAACCACUCCACAAAUGUCGUCUUAACAAACUAUAGUUUUGGCAAGUUGGUUAGGACAUCUACUUUGUGCAUGACACAGGUCAUUUUUCCAACAAUUGUUUUCAGGCAGAUUAUUUCACUAAAAAUUCACUGUAUCACAAUUCCAGUGGGUAAGAAGUUUCAUACACUAAGUUGACUGUGCCUUUAAAUUCCAGAAAAUUAUGUCAUGGCUUUAGAAGUUCCUGAUAGGCUGAUUGACAUAAUUUGAGUCAAUUGGCGGUGUACCUGUGGAUGUAUUUCAAGGCCUACCUUCAAACUCUGCCUCGUUGCUCGACAUCAUGGGAAAAUCAAAAGAAAUCAGCCAAGACAUCAGAAAGACAUCAGAAAUAAGUCUGGUUCAUCAUUGGGAGCAAUUUCCAAACGUCUGAAGGUACCACGUUCAUCUGUACAAACAAUAGUACGCAAGUAUAAACACCAUGGGACCACGCAGCCGACAUACCGUUCAGGAAGGAGACGCGUUCUGUCUCCUAGAGAUGAACGUACUUUGGUGCGAAAAGUGCUAAUCAAUCCCAGAACAACAGCAAAGGAUCUUGUGAAGAUGCUGGAGGAAACAGGUACGAAGUAUCUAUUUCCACAGUAAAACAAGUCCUAUAUCGACAUAACCUGAAAGGACGCUCAGCAAGGAAGAAGCCACUGCUCCAAAACCACCAUAAAAAAAGCCAGACUACUGUUUGCAACUGCACAUGGGCACAAAGAUCAUACAUUUUGGAGAAAUGUCCUCUGGUCUGAUGAAACAAAAAUGGAACUGUUUGGCCAUAAUGAUUGUCAUUCUGUUUGGAGUAAAAAGGGGGAGGCUUGCAAGCCAAAGAACACCAUCCCAACUGUAAAGCACGGGGUGGCAGCAUCAUGUUGUGGGGGUGCUUUGCUGCAGGAGGGACUGGUGCACUUCACAAAAUAGAUGGUUUCACGAGGAUGGAAAAUUAUGUGGAUAUUUAGAAGCAACAUCUCAAGACAUCAGUCAGGAAGUUAAAGCUUGGUCGCAAAUGGGUCUCCCAAAUGGACAAUGACCCCAAGCAUACUUCCAAAGUUGUGGCAAAAUGGCUCAAGGUCAACAAAGUCAAUGUAUUGGAGUGGCCAUCCCAAAGGCCUGACAUCAAUCCUAUAGAAAAUUUGUGGACAGAACUGAAAAAGUGUGUGCGAGCAAGGAGGCCUACCAACCUGACUCAUUUACACCAGCUCUGUCAGGAGGAAUGGGCCAAAAUUCAUCCCAAAAUUCACUCAGCUACCCAAAACACAUGACCCAAGUGAAACAAUUUAAAAGCAAUGCUACCAAGUACUAAUUGAGUGUAUGUAAACUUCUGACCCCCUGGGAAUGUGAUGAAAGAAAUAAAAGCUGAAAUAAAUAAUUCUCUCUACUAUUAUUCUGACAUUUCACAUUCUUAAAAUAAAGUGGUGAUCCUAAUUCACCUAAAACAGGGAAUUUUUACUUGGAAUAAAUGUCAGGAAUUGUGAAGAACUGAGUUUAAAUGUAGUUGGCUAAGGUGUAUGUAAACUUCCGACUUCAGCUGUACACAUAUAUAUAUUCCAAAUAACAUAUGACCAUAAUAUUAUGUACUAAAGCACACAACGUAUCCCAUUAACCCACUAAAAUGCAUGAGAACAGUAGGGAACUAUACCCCUGAUAACUUUGGUAACCCACUCCAUAUGCGAAUAGAGAGAAGGAGAGCUGUCUGUGCUUUCCCUGAUCAUGGCUUCAGGCUCUCCCAGAUACCCAGGGCCGAUGGAAGAAUAAAUCCACCACCUGCAGGACUGGUUAUUAUACAGUACUGUAUACAUCCACCACCUACAGUACUGAAUACAUCCACCAUCUGCAGUACUGAAUACAUCCACCACCUGCAGUACUGAAUACAUCCACCACCUGCAGGGCUGGUUAUUAUACAGUACUGAAUACAUCCACCACCUGCAGGGCUGAAUACAUCCACCAUCUGCAGUACUGAAUACAUCCACCAUCUGCAGUACUGAAUACAUCCACCACCUGCAGUACUGAAUACAUCCACCACCUGCAGGGCUGGUUAUUAUACAGUACUGAAUACAUCCACCACCUGCAGGGCUGAAUAUAUCCACCACCUGCAGCGCUGAAUACAUCCACCACCUGCAGGGCUGAAUACAUCCACCACCUGCAGGGCUGAAUACAUCCACCACCUUCAGGGCUGAAUAUAUCCACCACCUGCAGGGCUGAAUACAUCCACCACCUGCAGUACUGAAUACAUCCACCACCUGCAGUACUGAAUACAUCCACCACCUGCAGUACUGAAUACAUCCACCACCUGCAGUACUGAAUAUAUCCACCACCUGCAGUACUGGAUACAUCCACCACCUGCAGUACUGAAUACAUCCACCACCUGCAGUACUGAAUACAUCCACCACCUGCAGUACUGAAUACAUCCACCACCUGCAGGGCUGAAUACAUCCACCACCUGCAGGGCUGAAUACAUCCACCACCUGCAGCACUGAAUACAUCCACCACCUGCAGGGCUGAAUACAUCCACCACCUGCAGGGCUGAAUACAUCCA